AGAGUUUGAUCCUGGCUCAGGAUAAACGCUGGCGGCGUGCCUAACACAUGCAAGUCGAACGCCCUGCGCAAGUAGGGAGUGGCGGACGGGUGAGUAACACGUGGGGACCUACCCUUCGGUGAGGAAUACCGGCGAGAAAUCGUCGACAAGACCGCAUAGCCUUGGAAGCAAGGAAAGCCUCGCGAGAGGCGCCGGAGGAU
rnacentral:rRNA from 1 species